UAAAGGAAGAAACAUUUCCAAUAUUCGUUUAUAAUCUUAAUUUUUAAUUACUUAUUAUUAAGUAUAUUCUAUUAUAGUCCGGAAAGUAAUUUCGUUUUCUCACGCGAGUGUCGCUAGUGUUUAUUCGGCCAACUUCGUUCUGAACCGUGUUGUUAUUACGUAUACUUCGAGAGUUGGUAUUUAUAAGAAAAAUUCGAUCCAUUCCGUUUUUCGUGUACGAUAACAAAGAUGCAAGAUCGAAAGGAGCAUAUUUUACUUUUUUAUUAAAAGGUAAGAAUGCUGAUCUGACAAGAAAAAAGUUGUGCGAAGUCCACGGAGAAGAUGUAUUAACAGUCAAAAAACUGGUUUUCAAAAUUUCGUUCCUUUCGACGUUAAAGAUGUUCACGUUCCGAGAGAUCGUUUGAUGAAGACAAAAUAAAGACACUGAUUGAAGCAAACUGGAGAAAUUGCUACCAGAUUGAAUUCGAUUAUUCAUACGACCAUUUCAUGUGAUGUGAUUAUAGGUUAUGAUUAUAGAAAAGAAUGAAAAUUAAAAUCUAUCCCUUUAUUUCGUUUAUUAUUACGAGUGAUACGUGGUGGAAUUAAACGUAAGAAUUUCUACGCGAAAGAAAUGAGGCAACCGCAAACUUUCAUCGCUUGUGUACGAUCGCAGGACGACGAGCGAUGGCAUCGUCGUCGUGGCGACGACGUCGUCGUCGUCGUCGUCAUUCCGGUAGACGCGAUGACAAUCUCGUAGGGCCGGCUAGGUGUGGUCCUACGUUCGAGGCAGCGGGUUUCCAGGAACGCGAGCCAUUAGACCUUCUGGCUGGUGUUAUAAAUUGUACAUCGUUUAAUUAGGCUCUCUUCCCGCCCGUGUUCGGGCGGCUCAGUUAUUUACCAUUUACUCCCAGCCUACCCCUGAGCCGGUGCUAUCUCUGCCGAGGCUACUGUGCAUCAAAUUGGAUUGGGAUUGGGUCCUGGAGACGGCUGCUCCGCUCUAGGAGAGACGGUCACGCCGACGAUCGACCCGGGGAGCAAAGGUUAUGGACAUUGUUGUCGAGACCCGAAGUGAAUUCUCGUCCCUCCUCUCGACUAGGUGAAAUUGGUUGUUUGAUCGGCGUAUUACGCAUAAAUUUGUUUUAGUGAAGGCGAAUGAAAUGUAAUGUCCAUAAUAAGUGAUGUAAGAUAGGUAUAAAAAACAAGAAACAAAUCUUAAACUGUAACAAAUAUAUCCAAAUAAAGAUCUUUUUUGUACAUCAA